rnacentral:rRNA from 1 species
CCCUUAGAUGUCCUGGGCCGCACGCGCGUUACACUGAUGCAUUCAACGAGCUUAUAACCUUGGCCGAGAGGCCUGGGCAAUCUUGUUAACGUGCAUCGUGAUAGGGAUAGAUUAUUGAAAUUAUUAAUCUUGAACGUGGAAUUCCUAGUAAACGCAGAUCAUCAAUCUGCAUUGAUUACGUCCCUGCCCUUUGUACACACCGCCCGUCGCACCUACCGAUUGGAUGGUCCGGUGAAGCCUCGGGAUUGUGGUUCUUGCCGCUUUAUUGUGGCGUGACCGCGAGAACUUGUCUAAACCUUAUCAUCUAGAGGAAGGUGAAGUCGUAACA